rnacentral:lncRNA from 1 species
GAAGAUGACAGCAACCCAAUCUCAAACUCCAUUGAAUGUUAUGCAUGCACUCAAGUUGGCGUUCCAGUUUUCCACUCCACCAGUUGCGACCAAGCUAACCCACCGGAGUGGGAAGCUUCAGCCGGUUCCUCUCUUGUUCCUAUUCAGAACCGAACUAAUAAUUCAAGAACCGGAAAAUCCCGGUUCAGUCGCAACCGGCAUCCGUCGGGUCCAUUCGGAACUGUGUUAGACCCUCGAAGCAAGCGCGUGCAGAGAUGGAACCGAAUCAUUUUGUUGGCACGUGGCAUGGCCUUAGCCGUUGAUCCUCUCUUCUUUUACGCCUUAUCCAUCGGCCGUGGUGGAUCGCCGUGCUUGUACAUGGACGGCGGACUUGCAGUUAUCGUCACGGUGAUACGGACUUGCCAAUUCAGAACCGGACUAAUAAUUCCAGAACCGGAAAAUCCCGGUCCAGUCGCAACCGGCAUCCGUCGGGUCCACUCGGAAGUGUAUUAGACCCUCGAAGCAAGCGCGUGCAGAGAUGGAACCGAAUCAUUUUGUUGGCACGUGGCAUGGCGUUAGCCGUUGAUCCUCUAUUCUUUUACGCCUUAUCCAUCGGCCGUGGUGGAUCGCCGUGCUUGUACAUGGACGGCGGCCUCGCGGCUAUCGUUACGGUGAUUAGGACUUGCCUCGACGCCGUACACCUCUUCCACUUGUGGUUGCAGUUUCGGUUGGCGUACGUGUCGAGAGAGUCGCUAGUUGUUGGGUGUGGGAAACUCGUGUGGGAUGCGCGUGCGAUUGCUGCUCACUAUGUUCGGUCUGUUAAAGGAUUUUGGUUCGAUGCUUUUGUCGUCCUACCCGUCCCUCAGGUUAGCAAAAUUUAUAAGGAAUUUUUAUACAAAUAACCGAUUAUAUUAAUUGUU